GGCAUACGGCUCAGUAACACGUAGAUAACCUGCCCUUUGGAGGAGGAUAACCUCGGGAAACUGAGGACAAUACUCCAUAAUUGACUAAUUCUGGAAUGAGUAGUCAAACAAAAAGUUAAUUGGGAAUGGCCUUUUUUCUGCCAAAGGAUGGGUCUGCGUCGGAUUAGGCAGUUGGUGGUGUAACGGACCACCAAACCUACAAUCCGUAGGGGCAUUGAGAGAUGAAGCCCCGAGAAGGGCACUGAGACAAGGGCCCUAGCCCUAAGGGGUGCAGCAGGCGCGAAACCUCCACAAUGCGCGAAAGCGUGAUGGGGGGACUCCGAGUGCGCUAUCACUGAUAGUGCUGUGGCGAAGCGUAAAUAACUUCGCAAGAAAGGGGUGGGCAAGACAGGUGCCAGCAGCCGCGGUAACCCCUGCGCCUCAAGUGGUGGCCAUGUUUAUUGGGCCUAAAGCAUCCGUAGCCGGACUAGCAAGUCCUCUGUGAAAUCGUCCAGCCUAACUGGUCGGCGUGCAGAUGAUACUACUAGUCUAGAGACCGGGAGGGGGCAGAGGUAUUCCUGGAGUAGUGGUUAAAUGCUAUAAUCCCAGGAGGACCAACGGUGGCGAAGGCGUCUGCCUGGAACGGGUCUGACGGUGAAGGAUGAAAGCUGGGGGAGCGAAACGGAUUAGAUACCCGUGUAGUCCCAGCCGUAAACGCUGCCCACUAGGUGUUGCAUAUCUUAAUGGGUAUGCAGUGCCGAAGCGAAGGCAUUAAGUGGGCCGCCUGGGGAGUACGGUCGCAAGGCUGAAACUUAAAGGAAUUGGCGGGGGAACACAACAAGGGGUGUAUCGUGCGGUUUAAUUAGAUCCAACACUGGAAAUCUCACCAGGAGCGACAGCAGGAUGAAGGUCAGUUUGAAGAGCUUACCUAACGCGCUGAGCGGAGGUGCAUGGCCGUCGUCAGCUCGUGCUGUAAAGUGUCCUGUUAAGUCAGGUAACGAGCGAGACCCACGUCCUUAUUUGCUACUAAUCUUCUGCGGAGGGUUAGGCACAAUAAGGAGACUGCCUCGGGCAACGAGGAGGAAGGUGUGGGCAACGGUAGGUCCGUAUGCCCCUAAUCCCCUGGGCUACACGCGCGAUUCAAUGGUAGGAACAAAGGGCUGCGACUCCGAAAGGAGAAGCAAAUCCCCCAAAUCCUAUCCUGGUCUGGAUCGAGGGUUGGAACCCACCCUCGUGAAAUCGAAAUCCCUAGUAAUCGCAUUUCAUGAAGUUGCGAUGAAUGUGUCCCUGUUCCUUGCACACACUGCCCGUCAAACCACUCGAGUUGGGUGUGGAUGAGGCUCCAUCUGAGGAUGGUUUCGAAUCUGUGCUCGACGAGAUGGGUUAAGUCGACACAAGGUA
rnacentral:rRNA from 1 species